GUUUCAUUUUUUUUCCUUAAAUUUUACAGCUUGUGGUUGAUUGAAUUCUCAGGCGCAGAGCCUUACAGGCAUGGAAGUAGACGGUGAUUUCUCCAUCGCUUCCACAGAGACUCACACCCUACAGCGUAUCACUCAUCUCUACUCAAGCAUUCAUCUCACACACAUUUAUGGAGUGAUCCAAGCCUGUGCCAGGGGCAGGGAACACCCAAGAGCCCAUAGCAUUCCUGUUGCCACAUUUAAGAGAAGAGAUUUAUAUAUUAAAUACAGUGGUGUCCCUCUGAGAGUGCCAUUAAAAUUCAUCUCUCCUGUCAGUGAGGAGUGCUGACAGACAAGAGACAUUUUAAGAUAUCUAUGUAUUUUUCUUGGUUUGUCUUAAAAAUAAAUCAGUUGCUUGCUGAAGAAUUUGCAAAUGUGCUUGAGUGCCACUAGAGGGCGUUUUGAGGGCGUAGUGAGAAUUCUCUGCAUGCUACAUAUUUUGUAUUUAAAGACAUAGUCCUUCCAUAAAUCUUAUAUCAUCAAUAGAUGCCUUAUAAUACCCCAUAGGACAGAAACACUACAUAAAGAGUUUAGGGGAAGAAGGACAAAAUAUCCAUUAGAGUUCUACUAUGUGUUCAAGACAGAGGUGGGGAACAGGAGAUUAUGAGAACCUGUAUCCCUGUCCCCCAGAAGUGGAGACACACAUUAAAGAGGGCAGAUGUGACAAUUGAUUCACUCAUAGACCAGAAGUUCAUUGCAAUCAAGUGAGAAAGAAGUGUCACUUUCAUGGCCAAAGCCUUUAAUUGCCCACAGGGAGCCUUGCAGAACUCUUUCUGACCCAUGUGCAGGAUUGAAAUGGUUUCACCUCUCAGGAACAUGGGUAACAGGCCCGUGAACCCGCAUUGGGGUUGAACCUGGCAAAGCAGCCUUGCUGUUGGCAGUCAUCGAUGGAGAUUCCCCCGCCCCCUUUCUUUCUUUGCAAUGCUUUAGGGUGCAGCUAGCCACGGGCUCUACCAUUUAGCCAUAGCCACAAGCCAAGUCAGCCCAUAUCAGGCUUUUUGUUUAGAGUUUUCCUGACCCUACCAUCCACAAUUUAAGAUCUCUACAGCAACUUUUGCUACAAAUUAUUAAUCCUUAGUAUCUGUCCCAGGAAUAAGUCACACAUGACUCAGUUUAUAACGCUAGCUCAAGUGUGUGAAUGCCACACAGGGGAGUCCAGGGCAAUCUACACGACUACUAGAAUCUGCAUCCUGGUGUCAGCAUUUAACAGUGGCUCCGGGAGCUACAAUCCCUGUGGGGUGCUGAGGGGUUCCUUGGACUUUAAAUUUUGACUCCACAGUCCUGAUAUGCUUAGCCCACUAAGGAGAAAACCUCAAAUGCUGGAAACACAGAACUGGCCACACUUUGAAACAUGUGGAUCCAAUUAGAGGAAGGUUUUCAAUUUCAGCAAAACCAUACCCCGCCAGAAGCAAGAGCUCUGAGCUUGCAAGGGGAUCUAUGGUGCUGGGCUGUAAAUGAGAAUGGCUGCUUACACAGCAGAAAAGACAUGAAACUGUUGUAAAGUCAACCCAAGAGCGCUCUGGACAGGCCACAGAAAGCAUGGGCCUGUGACACAUGACUGCAGCAACUCUAGGUCCAGAUCGGAGGAGCUGCAGUUCAAUACCUCAGAUUAGUCCAGAGCCGCGGGCAGGCAGCCUGCCUGGGCCAUGCUCUCCCCAGGAAGGAAGGCAAGCAGAGUGCCUGGCACAGUUCAUGCAGAGGAACCCACGGGCUGUUUAGACAUCAGUGUAUCCUUUUUUUUUUUUUUAUAUUAUUCUUUUUUUUUUUUCCUUCCUCACAGGGAUUCCUGCUGGCGAAGACAAUCCUGCCCAUCUGUCACAACGCAAUGCUGAUUUGUUCCCCUUUAAGAAGACAAGCUUGAAACCCGGGAUCUCACUCUGAGGCACUGCUGGGAAAGGGGGCAGGAAAUGGUGUCUCUGUCCUCAGACCACAAGACGUAAGCAUCUAAGUACACACUGUCAACAACAGAAGGAUGCUUUUCUAAGGGACACUGAGACACUCUUUUCCCCAAAGCCUCAAGGGGUCUUCUUGCUACUAGAAACCACCAAAAUAAACCCCAAACCGCAAUAAUCACAUGGUGGGAAAAGGGUUGGCUCCACACUGGAGCUUACAAAUGUCUACCUCGGUGCCUGGACAAAGCCACACUCAUUGUCUCUACUGCCCAAUCCCUGGAAGAGGAAAAGACACCGUGGGAGUCACGGGCUCAUAUUGGAAUAUCUGGGUCCCCGGCUGAAAUUUCAUGGAUACGGCCGGGUGAGACACAGAGGCCGGAAGAGCUCAUUCACAUCUGCCUCGGCUUGGGGACAGGAUGGAGGAUACUUAUCCCAAGUUAGUGGCGCCCAAAAAGGGAUGGGGCGGGCAUGUCUUCCUAGAUGAUGUAAACCCAGGGCAUCCCAAGGACAGGUAGACCUUUGUGCUCAAGCCCAGACUGAAACUCAACAGGAACAGAGAAACACAGCUGCCCCAUCAGGGUCUAUCUGGGUGCCCAAGAGACUCCUGAAAAGAAUUAACAGAUGUGCACACAGGCCCCGAUUUGUCUCCUUCCAGAAUGACCAGCUCACAGGAGAGUCCCAGCUCUUGUCGCCUUUCAAGGUUGUGAGCUACACAGUCAAGCAUCUGAAGGCUCUUUAUGAUCCAACCUCUAACUGAUGCAGAAGGAGCUAGGAUGUCCUCAGUUAAGACUGAGCGCAGGGUAGGACUGAACCUGAACACCAAAGCAAACAGCAAGCACACCAAUGGUGUUGUUUGAAACAAGUCUUUUGUUGUUGUUGUUGUUGUUAAGGCCAGCUUUUCAUUGAUUUUAGUGGUAACAAUAGCAGGCUAUUUUUCUAUCAGUGUAACUAUUCUUUAAUAAAAACUCAGCAACUUUCU
rnacentral:lncRNA from 1 species